rnacentral:rRNA from 1 species
UACAGAGGUCCCAAGCGUUGUUCGGAUUCAUUGGGCGUAAAGGGUGUGUAGGUGGCGCCGUAAGUCGGGUGUGAAAUCUCGGGGCUUAACUCCGAAACUGCAUUGGAAACUGCGUUGCUAGAGGGUUGGAGGGGGGACUGGAAUGCUUGGUGUAGCAGUGAAAUGCGUAGAUAUCAAGCGGAACACCAGUGGCGAAGGCGAGUCCCUGGACAACACCUGACACUGAGGCACGAAAGCUAGGGGAGCAAACAGG